rnacentral:rRNA from 1 species
GGCCGCGGUAUACUGACCGUGCCAAGGUAGCGCAAUCACUUGCCCUUUAAAUGGGGGCCCGUAUGAAUGGCAUCACGAGGGCUAAUCUGUCUCCUUUCUCCAGUCAAUGAAAUUGAUCUCCCCGUGCAGAAGCGGGGAUAAACCCAUAAGACGAGAAGACCCUGUGGAGCUUUAGAUACUAAGAUUGAUCCUCUUAAUAUAUACAAAACAAAGAUAUCCAAAUAAGGAACACAAUCCGAUUAUCUUUGGUUGGGGCGACCGCGGGGACUAAAAAAACCCCCAUGUGGACCGAAAAUAAAAGUCUUUCUUAUUCUUACAAUCAAGAGUUACCACUCUAACUAACAGAACUUCUGACCUAAAGUGAUCCGACAAAGUCCAUCAACGGACCGAGUUACCCCAGGGAUAACAGCGCAUUCCCCUUUAAGAGCUCUUAUCGACGAGGGGGUUUACGACCUCGA